rnacentral:lncRNA from 7 species
GCCUUUUGCUGCGCUUCCCCGGCGCCGGUUAUGCAAGUGGCUUGGGAAGCCGCGCAAAUUGCAGCAGGAAGAAAUCAUCGCGCGGCUCUGGUGGGAAAAGCUGUUAUCGGCGCUGCUGGCGAGCCCGGCUGCGGCAGUUCAGCACUGCCUACAAACUGCCCUGACGAAGUGGAAAAUGCAGUCACCGGUGCUGGGUCUCAUCCGGUGCUGCUUCCCCUCCCUGUGCAGCACCUGGCGGGCCCCCGCUCCCCGCCUGCUCACAGAGCCCAGGUGAAAACCAGCGGUCUGAGGCUCUGUGCUGGCAGGGAGGAGCGAGCAGAUGGUGCCCUAAAAUCGCCGUGCCCCGACAAGUGAGAUACUGAUCGUUUCCGAAGCUCUUGAGAUAUUUUUUCCAGCUCCUGCUGAGCCUGGCGAGCGCCGUAAUUGCAGCUUGGACUGGCUGGAGAGGGCAAUACCCGGAUGGGCUCCCUGCCUUCCCCGCUGUAAUUGGGCCCUGGUGAUACAAAGCACAAAGCUCUUUCCUUCCUGUUUGCUGCUCUCCCUCUGUGAAACCUUCCCCUGCCUGUGCUGUGCAUGCUGGAAAAUAUGUAAAUACCAGGGCACAGGAGAAUGACUCCCUCGUGCCUGCGCCGCGUCUGAAAUCCCCAUUAAAAAUAUAUGUUC